rnacentral:rRNA from 1 species
GGGGAAACACCCGUUCCCAUACCGAACACGAUGGUUAAGACUUAAACGGCUGAUGAUACUUGGUGGGGGACUGCCUGGGAAAGUAAGUGGUUGCCA